ensembl:lncRNA
CCCACCCCCCGCCCACCGUCAGAUCUUAGAAGGCUUGACGAGCCUCUGCACUCCAAAUGGGAAUUCAGCAGAAGGUGAGAGAAAGAACGACAUGGGGAGACCAGUCUUUCCAGGAACUAAUCUGUCUCUUUAUUUUUCAGGACUUGACUCUGAAGGAGUGGAACUUGAGACUUGGGGACUUCCCUGGUGCUUCAGUGGUGAAGAAUCCUCCUGUCAGUGCAGGAGACACGGGUUUGAUCCCGGAUCCAGGAAGAUCCCACAUGCCUCACAGCAACUAAGCCCACGCACCACAUCUAAUGACCCUGUGCUCUAGAGCCUGGUAGCCACAACUAGUGAUCCCAUGCAUGGAAACUACCAAAGCCUGCAUGCCCUAGAGCCUGAGCUCCACAGCAAGAGAAGCCACCACAAUGAGAAGCCUGCACGCUGCAACUAGAGAGCAGCCCUUGCUUGCCAAAGCUAGAGAAAAGCCCGUGUAGCAACAAAGAACCAACAUAGCCAAAAAUAAUAAAUAAAUAAAAUUGUUUAAUGUGUUAAAAAAGAAAAAGAACUUGACUUUGAAUGGAAACAUUUUGGUGAACUUGGAAAAAUCUAAGAAACUAAACCACUGCCACCCCCCAAGUCACCCUUGCUAAAGAAACAGUUACUUCCACCUUGCCCAGGGAGACUAGCCAACCCUUGUAAUAACCUCAUUGAGGAAGUUGCCUUUCAAGGGAUGCUUAUACUACUAAAACUCACCCCAUACACAUCUAUUAUUUCCAGAUUUGUAACUAUAAUCACACCUCAGUAAGUAAAAGUUUGUACAAAAGACAACAGUUUAUAUGUAUCAAAAGUCUUGCAUGUUUCUGUUCAUUUAUAUUAUUGGAAACCCAAGAAAUAUGUAUGGGAGUGAAGUUCAGGGAGGAUGGUGUAUAACUCUUAAUAAGGCAAACUUAGCUGAGAUUCUUAUUUAAUGCAUUAGUUUUAGUAGUUAGAAAUGCCUCUAAAAAUUUGCAGUGUUGACUGAAAUAUGGACUCUACAGUGGUGUAUAAUAAAUGAAAUUGAUAUGCCCAAAUUCCCUGGCAUAAAAUAGAAGAGAAAUUGAGUUGUUGGAACUCCAGAGGCAACAGCAUUCAAUAGUAUUACCUUGGUAUGCCCCCUGGCACCACUGUGUGAGCAGCGGUGGUUCAUAACCAGCCCGGUCCUGUGGAGGUGAAUCCUCUGGGCUUCCUGCUGGUCUUUCGGCUUCUGGUCCUGUCCUUUCCCUGAGCUUCCUGUGAGUGUGUUUACUUUGAUAUUCCACCCCAAAGUUCCUUUUCCAUUGAAGUUAGCCGAAGUCACCUGUAACAAAGAAGAGUGAAUUAUAUAAUUGGUAUUUUUGUCUUUUAGUUACAGAGCCAAUUUAGUAACUCACACCAUAUUCAUUUUAAUUCAACAGUAACCUCUGUUUCCAAGGCCACAUAUGUAGAGAAGACUGGAAAAAUGGGGGUAAGGGUGGCAAAUCCAGGAAAUGGAAGUAAAAUUCAUAAGAUAUUUCACACCCACCAAGGUAUAAAAAAAUAAAAAUUCUGAAAUUAUGUGUUGGCAAGUAUGUGAAUAGCAGUGGGAGUGUAAAUUGAUACAAACAUGUUGGAAAACAGUUUCUAGUAAUAAAGGCAAUGAUAUAUAUCCCUCCAUACCCAGCAAUACACACGCUGUGGGAUUUAUCAUAGAGACACUUGCCUGUACACAGCAGAGAAUGCAUGAGAAUGUUCUCAGAAGGAUUGUUUGUAACAGCAAAAAAGGGAAAAAUGGAAAUACUCCCAAAUAUUCAAUCAGGAAAAUGGAUAGCCUAUGAUAUAUUCAUACAAAGAAUUUUAAGUGACUAUGAAAUAAACUCCAGAACACAUCAACAAGGUAAAUCUCAGCAAUAUAAUGUUUAAUGAAAAAAAAAAUCUUCAAAAUUUAAAAAAAAAUAAAAGGGUGGGGAAGAUAAAAGAUAAAGGCAAUUUACAGAAUAUUACAAAGAGGAUGAUUCCAAACUGGUACAAUAUUUAAAGCAGGUGAAACUAAACAAUAUAUUGUUUGAGAAUACAUACAAUGGUGAUAAAAGUCAUGUUGGAGUCACCUCUGAAGAAAGGAGAGGAAUGUGAACAAGGAGGGGCACAUAG